CCUACGGGAGGCAGCAGUGGGGAAUAUUGGGCAAUGGGCGCAAGCCUGACCCAGCAACGCCGCGUGAAGGAAGAAGGCUUUCGGGUUGUAAACUUCUUUUAUGAGGGACGAAACAAAUGACGGUACCUCACGAAUAAGCCACGGCUAACUCCGUGCCAGCAGCCGCGGUAAUACGUAGGUGGCAAGCGUUAUCCGGAUUUACUGGGUGUAAAGGGCGUGUAGGCGGGACUGCAAGUCAGAUGUGAAAAUUAUGGGCUCAACCCAUAAACUGCAUUUGAAACUGGAGUUCUUGAGUGAUGGAGAGGCAGGCGGAAUUCCGUGUGUAGCGGUGAAAUGCGUAGAGAUACGGAGGAACACCAGUGGCGAAGGCGGCCUGCUGGACAAUAACUGACGCUGAGGCGCGAAAGCGUGGGGAGCAAACAGGAUUAGAUACCCUAGUAGUC
rnacentral:rRNA from 1 species